rnacentral:rRNA from 1 species
UACGUAGGGUGCAAGCGUUAAUCGGAAUUACUGGGCGUAAAGCGUGCGCAGGCGGUUGUGCAAGACAGAUGUGAAAUCCCCGGGCUCAACCUGGGAACUGCAUUUGUGACUGCACGGCUGGAGUGCGGCAGAGGGGGAUGGAAUUCCGCGUGUAGCAGUGAAAUGCGUAGAUAUGCGGAGGAACACCGAUGGCGAAGGCAAUCCCCCGGGCCUGCACUGACGCUCAUGCACGAAAGCGUGGGGAGCAAACAGG